ensembl:snoRNA
ACCAUGUUGUGGUUCGCAAGCGUGAUAAUUCAGUUUUUACGCUCACGUAUGAGACACACCUCCUUCAAAUCUUGUUAUGUCAUCACAUUAACCAUCUGAUG